rnacentral:rRNA from 1 species
CCCUUAGAUGUUCUGGGCCGCACGCGCGCUACACUGAUGCAUGCAACAAGUCUUUUCCUUGGCCGUGAGGCCUGGGCAAUCUUUGAAUAUGCAUCGUGAUGGGGAUAGACGAUUGCAAUUAUUCGUCUUCAACGAGGAAUUCCUAGUAAACGCAAGUCAUCAGCUUGCAUUGAUUACGUCCCUGCCCUUUGUACACACCGCCCGUCGCACCUACCGAUUGAAUGGUCCGGUGAAGGCUUCGGAGGCGGCUUUCUCAAUGUUUAUUCGGCGAGACUGCUGCCAAAGUUGAAUGAACCUUACCAUUUAGAGGAAGGUGAAGUCGUAACA